CCAUUUAAUCAUCAUAUCCACAUUACUGAUGAUUAUUAGCAAAUGUUUAAUUGUUUAAAUAUUGCUAAAGCACCAGAAGUCAACCCACAGUAUUGUUGCAAUAUCCAUGUAAAGGUAUUUGGUCACACAUUUUUUUCCUUAUGGCCCAGCACUAGUUUGUAAACAAUGGUUAAAGAUGAUUUUUCUUUGUCCAGGUGAAGCCUUGACGUGUUACUGUGGAGGCAGGAAACAGUGUUCAGAAAGUACAGAGACCUGCACUGGGUCAAAUGAAGUCUGUGCCAUCAUCGUCUCUCAACAUGAUUACAGCUACUUCCAGAGCUGCUUAGAUGGCAGUGACUGCAGGUGGCUCAUUCAGUCAUCAGAUGCAUUUGGCGUGUGCUGCGUGACUGAUCUGUGCAACUGAUACAUGAAUGUGCAAAACUGAAAAAGAAAUCAGGCAAUACAUCUUUCUGUAAUCAUAAUAAUCUGCUGUCAUGUGUUUGUACUUUUGCUUUUCAUAAUAAAGAUCAGUCAGUUGCAA